CCUACGGGGGGCAGCAGUAGGGAAUCUUCCGCAAUGGACGAAAGUCUGACGGAGCAACGCCGCGUGAGCGAAGAAGGUCUUCGGAUCGUAAAGCUCUGUUGUUAGGGAAGAACAAGUAUCGGAGGAAAUGCCGGUACCUUGACGGUACCUGACGAGAAAGCCACGGCUAACUACGUGCCAGCAGCCGCGGUAAUACGCAGGUGGCAAGCGUUGUCCGGAUUUAUUGGGCGUAAAGCGCGCGCAGGCGGUCCUUUCAGUCUGAUGUGAAAUCUUGCGGCUCAACCGCAAGCGGUCAUUGGGAACUGGGGGACGUGAGUGCAGAAGAGGAAAGCGGUAUUCCACGUGUAGCGGUGAAACGCGUAGAGAUGUGGAGGAUCGCCAGUGGCGAAGGCGGCUUUCUGGUCUGUAACUGACGCUGAGGCGCGAAAGCGUGGGGGGCAAACAGGAUUAGAUACCCUAUUAGUG
rnacentral:rRNA from 1 species